CAGUCGCCGCGGUAAUCCGUAGGUGGCAAGCGUUGUCCGGAAUUAUUGGGCGUAAAGGGCUCGCAGGCGGUUUCUUAAGUCUGAUGUGAAAGCCCCCGGCUCAACCGGGGAGGGUCAUUGGAAACUGGGAAACUUGAGUGCAGAAGAGGAGAGUGGAAUUCCACGUGUAGCGGUGAAAUGCGUAGAGAUGUGGAGGAACACCAGUGGCGAAGGCGGCUCUCUGGUCUGUAACUGACGCUGAGGAGCGAGAGCGUGGGGAGCGAACAGGAUUAGAUACCCCUGUAGUCCCUGUCUCUUAUAC
rnacentral:rRNA from 1 species